rnacentral:lncRNA from 1 species
UGGGAUUGUCUUCCUCCAAAACAAGGGCUCUCACAUUAGAGCAGCAUGCUUUGUUAGACAUGGAAUUUUUUGGGCUUUGCUAUUGAGGAAUUGGAGGAAUUGGUGUAGUUGGAGUUUUACCGAGCAAGUUAGGAUCAAAGUUGGGAAUUAGUUGACUGAAUUGUUUCAACAAAAUUUCCCUCUCUGCUCUGACUGCAUCCAAAACACUUUCCUUUGCCCUGGCCUCUAUCUUUUUGGUUUCCUCUCUCAGUGCCUCCAUAACACUUUCCUUCAAUUUGUUAGCAAAUUUUACUCUCUGCUAUCUUGGCAAAUUGAAGAAUUGAGUUAGGGAAACCCCAGCUCUAGCACCUUUGACUCUCCCACCAUGCUCAGGGGUUCCCAAAUCCAAGGUCAAAACAUCGUUGCUCCCAGAGACAGUCAGAGUGCCAUCGGAGACUUGUUUUUUCAAAUCAUCCUAAAAGUGAGAGAGAGAGAGAGAGAGAAUGUUAGUGAGUGAACAGAUAGUAAAACUGAUUAAAUUAAUUAAUUCAUAAAAAUAUUAACCGCCGUGGUAAAGAGGUUAAGACGACGGUUUAUUUAAAAAACAGACAUAGAAAAUC